CGGAUAACUGUACUAUUAUAGUGAUUUGCUUUUCAACAGUUAAUGGUAGCUUUCGAUAGUGCGUGCGUUAGCUGAUAUUCAGCAAAACUCUAGCAUUUAGAAAGUGGCUGUAAUCUGUGAUCUGGUGCAUUUCCUAUCAUUAAAAAGCUCUACGACCCUUACAGAGGUGUGUGUCAGCUCCUACUAUGUAGGAAGACGCGUGCUGUGUUAUGUGACUGUUGAGUUUGGCUGAAAUUACUUUAGCCCGAGAUGCUUUAAGCUUUGGCAGCAUGAAUGUCUAGCAGACUUGUUUAUUCUAGUUUGUGGCGAACAUGAUGUCGUGGUUUGCGUCUUAUGUUUAAUGAUUAAGUACUAGUUAUUCGACCCGUCUUGAAA
rnacentral:rRNA from 1 species